rnacentral:lncRNA from 1 species
AGGGCAUCAACCUCAACCCCAUCACCUCUCUCUACUAUGUUGCCCCCUGCUGCCUCGUUUUCCUCUCCGUUCCCUGGCUCAUCGUGGAGCUCCCCCUCCUCAUGCAAGCCCCCUCGUUCAAGCCCGAUCUGUUCAUCUUUGGCUCCAACUCGCUCUGCGCCUUCGCCCUAAACCUCGCCGUGUUCCUUCUGGUUGGGAAGACCUCUGCACUCACUAUGAAUGUUGCCGGUGUGGUCAAGGACUGGCUUCUCAUCGCCUUUUCAUGGUCCGUCAUCCGCGACACCGUCACUGCCGUCAACCUCGU